AGAGUUUGAUCCUGGCUCAGGACGAACGCUGGCGGCACGCUUAACACAUGCAAGUCGAACGAGAGAAGAGGAGCUUGCUUUUCUGAUCUAGUGGUGGACGGGUGAGUAACACGUGAGCAAUCUGCCUUUCAGAGGGGGAUACCGAAUGGAAACGAUCGUUAAUACCGCAUAACAUAAUUGAACCGCAUGAUUUGAUUAUCAAAGAUUUAUCGCUGAAAGAUGAGCUCGCGUCUGAUUAGCUAGUUGGUAAGGUAACGGCUUACCAAGGCGACGAUCAGUAGCCGGACUGAGAGGUUGAUCGGCCACAUUGGGACUGAGACACGGCCCAGACUCCUACGGGAGGCAGCAGUGGGGAAUAUUGCACAAUGGAGGAAACUCUGAUGCAGCGAUGCCGCGUGAGGGAAGAAGGUUUUAGGAUUGUAAACCUCUGUCUUCAGGGACGAAAAAAGACGGUACCUGAGGAGGAAGCUCCGGCUAACUACGUGCCAGCAGCCGCGGUAAUACGUAGGGAGCGAGCGUUGUCCGGAAUUACUGGGUGUAAAGGGAGCGUAGGCGGGAUCGCAAGUCAGAUGUGAAAACUAUGGGCUUAACCCAUAAACUGCAUUUGAAACUGUGGUUCUUGAGUGAAGUAGAGGUAAGCGGAAUUCCUAGUGUAGCGGUGAAAUGCGUAGAUAUUAGGAGGAACAUCAGUGGCGAAGGCGGCUUACUGGGCUUUAACUGACGCUGAGGCUCGAAAGCGUGGGGAGCAAACAGGAUUAGAUACCCUGGUAGUCCACGCCGUAAACGAUGAUUACUAGGUGUGGGGGGACUGACCCCUUCCGUGCCGCAGCAAACGCAAUAAGUAAUCCACCUGGGGAGUACGACCGCAAGGUUGAGACUCAAAGGAAUUGACGGGGGCCCGCACAAGCAGUGGAGUAUGUGGAUUAAUUCGAAGCAACGCGAAGAACCUUACCAGGUCUUGACAUCGUAUGCAUAGCUCAGAGAUGAGUGAAAUCUCUUCGGAGACAUAUAGACAGGUGGUGCAUGGUUGUCGUCAGCUCGUGUCGUGAGAUGUUGGGUUAAGUCCCGCAACGAGCGCAACCCUUGCUGUUAGUUGCUACGCAAGAGCACUCUAGCAGGACUGCCGUUGACAAAACGGAGGAAGGUGGGGAUGACGUCAAAUCAUCAUGCCCCUUAUGACCUGGGCCUCACACGUACUACAAUGGCUGUCAACAGAGGGAAGCAAAGCCGCGAGGUGGAGCGAACCCCUAAAAGCAGUCUUAGUUCGGAUUGUAGGCUGCAACCCGCCUACAUGAAGUCGGAAUUGCUAGUAAUCGCAGAUCAGCAUGCUGCGGUGAAUACGUUCCCGGGCCUUGUACACACCGCCCGUCACGCCAUGGGAGUCGGUAACACCCGAAGCCUGUAGUCUAACCGCAAGGAGGACGCAGUCGAAGGUGGGAUUGAUGACUGGGGUGAAGUCGUAACAAGGUA
rnacentral:rRNA from 1 species